AGCGUGAGAUAGCACCAGGGCAUUGAGCUAAGUACUGUUUCACCAGCAAGGAGAUAGAUAGAUAGAUAUAUAUAUAUAUAUAUAUAUAUAUAUAUAUAUAGAGAUAGAUAGAUAUAGAGAUAUAUAGAUAUAUAUAUAUAUAUCUAGCUCCUUGCUGGUGAAACAGUACUUAGCUCAAUGCCCUGGUGCUAUCUCACGCU